rnacentral:lncRNA from 1 species
CUUUGCAUAUAGGUGGAAAGUCUUCUGGUGCCCACAGGCUCCUCUCGGUCUCUGCCCGAGUGCAGGCCGGACUUAGGGAGUUGGCUAGCUGCCUCUGCUCUAAGUCUUUCAAAUUCCGGCUCGGAAGGAGGCUCUGAUUGAGGUCCUUUGUGAGGCCUGGAGGAGCCACUGCGAGGCAAUCAAGUUUAAGGAAAGCAUAAAGUCAGAACCUCUCUAGACCUCUCAUUGAGGGGGAGUGGAGAGACCUUGCAAAAUCAACUGGAGGGAGAUGAAAUGGUGAUCUGCAAGACAAAUUGCUCCCCUUACCCUGCCCAGAGAGGCUGGGGUUCAAGCAGUUUCCAUCCAUCUCCUGGAAGCAACUGCAGGAAAACCCACUCAGAUCACAUAAGGAAAGGGGAUAAGAAGACAGAAUCUUAUUUGCUAUAG